rfam:Solanum tuberosum cultivar DM 1-3 516 R44 scf00355_20, whole genome shotgun sequence.
CGGCUGUAGCUACAUGAAAAUAAUUGAGAAGUUUACUGGCCGGUUGUUGUAAAUCUGUUGACAUAUCUGCUUACCGAACUUCUUACAUUU